AAUCUCCAUCUCCUGAUUCAAGUGAUCCUGCUGACUCAGCCUCCUGAGUAGCUAGGAUUACAGGCACACAUCACCAUGCCUGGCUAAUUUUUUUUUUUUUUUUUUUUUUUGUAUUUUUAGUACAGAUGGGGUUUCACCAUGUUGGCCAGGCUGGUCUGGAACUCCUGACCUCAAGUGAUCCAACUAUGUCGGCCUUUCAAAGUGCUGGGAUUAUAGGUGUAAGCCACCACCCCCAGCUGAUACUUUGUUAUUGACUUCUAAGAAUUCUAAUAAUAGCCAUUUAUUAUGACACAAGUUAUGCAAUUUCUUUUUUCAUUCUGUCAUUUCUAUUUUGACUUUGCUGCUGGGGUGCCUGUACGUGUGUGUGUUUGUUAUGUGUUCUUUCUCCACUUAUCCUCCCACAACCAUCUCCCACUGACUGUGUCCCUCUGACCCUCUGCCCCAGGAAAGGGGCCUCUGCGUCGUCCAGGUCCUCAUGCAAAGGGGCUUCUGAUUGUAUUCAGCCAAAGCCAGGAGAGGGAGGACAGAAAGAGGGAGCUGCUGUCCAUCUCCAUGGUCCCUUCCUCUUCUGCGCUCCCUCAUGAACAACAGCUAUGCCCUUUUAUAACUUCUGCACGGCUGCAGACUUCAUCAGACUCCAGGACAAAGAAAAGAGACAUGCAAGUACCACAGAAAGUACUACACACCACCCAGAGAUUGAAACUGAAGGUGUGACAACAGAGAAAAGAGAGGGUAAAGAAAAGUAAAACAAAGGAGACGUGGGAUAUGAAAGGUGGAUCCCAUGUGUGGACAUCAAGAAACGUUGUGGCUCCCACUUCUGCCACCAAUUGAACCUGGAACCUCACGACUUGGAGUUGAGAGGAGGCAAGUGCUCAUUCAUCAUCUGUGAAAAUAGGGAUUGAGAGUUCCCUAACUGUGCUAUUUUUCCUCAAGCACUGGCUUUAGUUUUCUGAAUGUCAGGUUCUGUGGAGGUGAGUCCUCAGCUGAGCCACGGGCUCGGCAUUCCUGGCAGUCCACACACUUCAUAUCCUUUGUUUACGCUGCAAUUUUGGAAUUCGAACAGGUUAAUGGGGCACAUUUCAACAGAUAAUGACACACACUGACUGCUCAUGAGCUAUUUUAUGGUGUGAGAAUGUUGUGAUGUUAUGAAAUAAGAAGGCAUUGAGACAUAGGGACAUUUUCUAGAAGGUCCUUAGCAGAGGGUACAGAAGACUAAGGUCCAAAUCUCUGAAAUGAUGUUUUCCAAGUUAUUGCACAGCUGUGUCAAACAAAAUACCUUGAUCCAGAUAAUGUUCACAAAUAAAAAAAAUAUGAAAUGUUAUUUUCUAGGUAUGGAUAGUAGUAGAUCUGUUGUGUAGUGGAGAUUACUUAGGAAGAAUAAAUUUCAGCUUUACCAAGAAAGUACUAGAUUAAUUGCAUUAGGAAAUUGUGACAAAAGUGUCAGUGCAGUAUAUAAAAUCAAGCUUGGCAAAACUUAAAUAUACCUUCUAGCCUGAAAGUCCAACUGGCUGACAAACUGGGCAUUUAAGGGUGAAUUUUAGUUCUUAAAAAAUAAAAUUUGGCAGAAAAGUGAUGAAUAUGGAUGAGAUAAUGAUUUGGAAUAAUAAAGAAACUUCUCAAAUAGAAAGAAGAUAACAUAUCAGUGCAUUUUAUUGAAGAAAGGAUGACAAAAUAAUCUACCCAUCAGAUUAGGUAACUGAUAGGUAGCCUAUGUACAUCACAGAAACUUACAGUUGUUUCAAGUUGAAGUUUAGAAAAAGAAGGCCAGAACCCUAGAAAUCAGUGAAGGGUGAAGUUUUUUUGAAGAAAAUUCCAUUGGCCUAUAAAUAAUCUUCUGAAUAAAAAGAAAAAUAAAUAAACAAGUAGAAAUGUGCUGCCACAGAGAGUUGCCAUAUAUUGAUGAAUAAUUCAUUCAUGAAUUAGUUAGUUUGUACUAUUUUUGAAAGCCAUAGUCCUUAAACCAUUUACCAUGUGUGAAAU
rnacentral:lncRNA from 1 species